rnacentral:rRNA from 1 species
GCUUAACGCGAAGAACCUUACCUGGCCUUGACAUGCCACUAACGAAGCAGAGAUGCAUUAGGUGCCCGUAAGGGAAAGUGGACACAGGUGCUGCAUGGCUGUCGUCAGCUCGUGUCGUGAGAUGUUGGGUUAAGUCCCGCAACGAGCGCAACCCUUGCCAUUAAUUGCCAUCAUUUAGUUGGGCACUUUAAUGGGACUGCCGGUGACAAACCGGAGGAAGGUGGGGAUGACGUCAAGUCCUCAUGGCCCUUAUGGCCAGGGCUUCACACGUAAUACAAUGGUCGGUACAGAGAGUUGCCAAGCCGCGAGGUGGAGCUAAUCUCAGAAAGCCGAUCGUAGUCCGGAUUGUUCUCUGCAACUCGAGAGCAUGAAGUCGGAAUCGCUAGUAAUCGCGGAUCAGCAUGUCGCGGUGAAUACGUUCCCGGGUCUUGUACACACCG